rnacentral:lncRNA from 1 species
GUGCUGUCACUAAAUACGGUUAAAUGAACUUACUAUUGUGGUUGUAGUUGUUAUGAAUCUCUUGACCGGUCGAAUAAAUCCAAAUAAAAAUUAGCAUAGAAUGCAAACUUAUGCACGAACGUAGAAGCUUCGGAUUCUGAACUAUAUAGUUUAUGACCCUGCAUAAAUAAAUACAUAUAACCAGAGUUGAUUACUCACUAAGAUACAUUUUGAAUUUUCUUUACACUUAGAAAUACUUUCAAC